CACGCCGUAAACUAAUGCGCGUUAGGUGUAUCGGUGACCACGAGUUACCGAGGUGCCGAAGGGAAACCGUGAAACGUGCCGCCUGGGAAGUACGGUCGCAAGGCUGAAACUUAAAGGAAUUGGCGGGGGGAGCACCACAACAGGUGGAGCCUGCGGUUUAAUUGGACUCAACGCCGGGAAGCUCACCGGAUAGGACAGCAGAAUGAUUGCCGGGCUGAAGACUCUGCAUGACUAGCUGAGAGGAGGUGCAUGGCGUAGACGUCU
rnacentral:rRNA from 1 species